rnacentral:lncRNA from 1 species
GAUAGUAUGGGUCCCAGCUGGAAAUGGAGUAAGGUCGCAGCAAGAGACAGCCAGACAAAUGGAGAUGCAUGGCCUGCUGGAUAGGGGUCUGGCUUAUUGGGGAAGAAGCAUAUUCCGGAAGGACCAAGCCUUGAUCUGCCAUCCAGCUCUGCUAUCUGUGACGUUGAAGUUUGGCCUUGCCCUAGUCCACAGCAAUGGGACAAGCACCCACAGAUGGAAACCUCUGAAACAGCCAGCCAACAUAAGCCUUCUUCCUGGAAGCUGCCGAUCUCAGGUGUCUGCCAUAGUGGGUCAGGCAGCAUGGAAGAGCCGUCCCAGAAGAGAGCAAGUCUGGGCUACAGAUGGGAAGCCACAGGGUUGGGACUGCCCUGCUGUGUUGGCUUGCUUUUGGUUUUAUCUUUGGUUUCUAGUCCCCCUCUUCCCUUUUGGGAACGUUACUCUGCCACUGUAUGCUGGAAGUGUGUCACUUGGAUUUUGAAUUUCACAAGGGCUCACAGCUAA